rnacentral:miRNA from 1 species
CUCGUGGGCUCUGGCCACGGCC